CUAACGCAUAGCCUUACAUUUCUAUUGCUUAAGCCGUCUUGAUUUAAAUUUUAAAUUAUCGAAUAACAGUUAUUGUGUCACGUCCCAUCGUCAUAUUUGUUUUGAUGCCGAUUAUUUUUCUUCGUGUAUGGAUUUAUUGAAAUUGUGCAAUACUAUUUAUAACCGUAGUUUUUGGAAGUGAUUGUUUUUUGUUCCUUUUUUUGGGAAGCGUUAAGUACAAAUAACGUUUUGUGCAAUACAAUUGUUAACUUUGUUUUUUUUUUCCUUCUUUGUUGGUAACGUGUUCUUAAAUCGUACCUACCUACCCAAUUGUAAAAAAGUUAAUUAGUUUUGUGAUUUUGAUCUUCAUAUCGAUAAAGUUUUGGCAAUGACUGAUAGGCGGUCACGUACACGAAGUAGGAGUCGUCAUCGUAGUAGAAGUCGUCAUCGUAGUGAAAGUCGGUACCGUGAUGACCGUAGAUCUAAAAACGUUGACCUUAAAAAAGAAAUGCGGAAAAUUUUUGAACGUUUAAGUGCUUUAGAAAGACAACCACCCUCAUCGCAAUCAGUGUCGCUGCCAGCCAUAGGUCAUCGGGACUCCGGGGGCACGCCGCCGGGCACGCCGCCGGGCAUGCCACCGCGGAGACGCAGCCGGUCUAUGGCACACGCGCCUGACCACGUGGCGGUUAGCGCCAGUCCACGGGCGCAGUCUGCGAGCAGUGCAGUGGCUUCGGAGCAAGCUACAACUGAAGCAUUGGUGAACGCGAUACGAUCCAUCAAUAACGCGAUGCAGACAAUGUUGAACCGGAGUCUGUCGCCGCGGGUCCAAUGCCUCCCGGGUCAACGACAUUGGAUGGUGGACUCGUUACACCCAUGCCGACCGAAAAGGAUACUUCCGGUUCCGCUACGACAGGUCAAGAUUCAUCUACCAUGGGAGAUUAAGGAAAAGAGACCGAGGCGGUCUCGUGUCAGGAAAGGCCGUAUUAGAGAGAAGCCUUACCAGGUGGCGCUAAUUUUUUCAAGACCAGCUUUGAGCAAAGUUGUUUCGCGCUAAACCAAUAGGUGGCGCUCAAUUACCUACUGAUUUGCUGCAACUUCAGCCCGCAACAACUUCACGCAAAUAAAUGGCGCCAUAUUGCCAUCCUCUGGUUUGACCCACUUUUGGCUCGACACUGGUGCGGUGCGGUUGUCCCGAAAUUCGCGAUCAUUUUUGUCCACGCUUUAUUUAGUUUGAAUUUAAUUUUGAUUUGUUCGUUUUCAUCAAUAAAUUGAAAUUACUUUUGUA